GAUGAACGCUGGCGGCGUGCUUAACACAUGCAAGUCGAACGAUGAAGCCCAGCUUGCUGGGUGGAUUAGUGGCGAACGGGUGAGUAACACGUGAGUAACCUGCCCUUAACUCUGGGAUAAGCCUGGGAAACUGGGUCUAAUACCGGAUAGGAGCGUCCACCGCAUGGUGGGUGUUGGAAAGAUUUAUCGGUUUUGGAUGGACUCGCGGGCUAUCAGCUUGUUGGUGAGGUAAUGGCUCACCAAGGCGACGACGGGUAGCCGGCCUGAGAGGGUGACCGGCCACACUGGGACUGAGACACGGCCCAGACUCCUACGGGAGGCAGCAGUGGGGAAUAUUGCACAAUGGGCGCAAGCCUGAUGCAGCGACGCCGCGUGAGGGAUGACGGCCUUCGGGUUGUAAACCUCUUUCAGUAGGGAAGAAGCGAAAGUGACGGUACCUGCAGAAGAAGCACCGGCUAACUACGUG
rnacentral:rRNA from 1 species